rnacentral:rRNA from 1 species
AGUGAACGCUGGCGGUAGGCCUAACACAUGCAAGUCGAACGGCAGCACAGUAAGAGCUUGCUCUUACGGGUGGCGAGUGGCGGACGGGUGAGGAAUACAUCGGAAUCUACUUUUUCGUGGGGGAUAACGUAGGGAAACUUACGCUAAUACCGCAUAUGACCUACGGGUGAAAGCAGGGGAUCUUCGGACCUUGCGGGAUUGAACUAGCGGAUGUCGGAUUAGCUAGUUGGCGGGGUAAAGGCCCACCAAGGCGACGAUCCGUAGCUGGUCUGAGAGGAUGAUCAGCCACACGGGAACUGAGACACGGUCCAGACUCCUACGGGAGGCAGCAGUGGGGAAUAUUGGACAAUGGGCGCAAGCCUGAUCCAGCCAUACUGCGUGGGUGAAGAAGGCCUUCGGGUUGUAAAGCCCUUUUGUUGGGAAAGAAAAGCAGCAGGUUAAUACCCCGCUGUUCUGACGGUACCCAAAGAAUAAGCACCGGCUAACUUCGUG